GAAAGUUGUUUAAAAUUACAUGCCCUAUCUGAAUCAUGAAAUAUUAAUUUGGACUUUAAUAUCCCUUUAAGGGGCAAUUAUAACACACACAGUGUUCACUCUACUAAAUGUUUGUGCUGAAUCAAUAGCACAUAUGUAAUAACCUAAUCAGCUGAUCUGUAUCACAUGAAUUGUUAUGUGUGCCUUUAAUUAUACCAUACGUACAGUUAAUCAGAACCAUUAUUUAUUAUAUCUGUCUAAACUAUUUAAUAUACUUUUUACAGACACGGCCAGAGCACUGAGAGAUAUCAGGUAUUGAUGUAACUGGAGUGAAUAAGGGAACCUUCUUCCUGAGCACAGACAUUGGAGCCUGUUAUCAGCAUGAACUCAUAUGUGUUAGACAAACACAUGAAUAGUUCAUAUCCAUCCCUCACUACAGGAAGCAUCAGAAUGAUACCACAGACUCCAAAAUUUUUAGACACUAAUGAAUACUCACAAACAUUGGGGAAAUCACAGCAGAUAUUUAAAGGAGAUGGUGAAUUGGCAGGAACUGGGCAGCAAUCAUUAUGUACAGAGAGUAAUUUAGUCAUCAAACAAGAAGACAAGAAUUAUGCCUUAUCUAGUGAAAUGAUUAUCCCUGAGGAUAAGCCACAAACAUGUACUGGGUUUUCAAAAGAAAUUAAAGAAGAGAAAAGUCUACAGUCUAGCCAAAUGAUUCAUAAAAAGGAGAGACCUUUCAAAUGUACAGAAUGUGAGAAAAUCUUUAGAUAUAAGUUUCAUCUCCUAGAACACCACAAAAUUCACACAGGUGAGAAGCCACACACAUGUACUGAGUGUGACAAAUGUUUAAUACAAAUGACAAAACUUAUAGCUCAUGAAAGGACCCACACAGGGGAGGAAUCAUUUAGCUGUACAGAGUGUGGAAAAAGUAUUACACAAAUGAAUGAUCUGAAAACUCAUAAAAAGAAUCGCACAGGAGAAAAACUUUUCACAUAUACAGAGUAUGGAAAAAGUUUUACAGGAAAGAGUGAUCUGAAUAAACAUGAAAGGAUUCACACAGGAGAAAAGCCUUUCACAUGUACUCAGUGUGGAAAAAGUUUUGCACACAUGCGUAGUCUGAAAAUUCAUGAAAGGAUUCACACAGGAGAAAAGCCUUUCACAUGUACAGAGUGUGGAAAAAGUUUUAUAGCAAACAGUAAUCUGAGAAAACAUGAAAGGAUUCACAGAGAAAAGCCUUUCACGUGUACAGAGUGUGGAAAAAGUUUUACAGGAAAGAGUGAUCUGAAUAAACAUGAAAGGAUUCACACAGGAGAAAAGCCUUUCACAUGUACAGAGUGUGGAAAAAGUUUUGCACACAUGCAUAGUCUGAAAAUUCAUGAAAGGAUUCACACAGGAGAAAAGCCAUUCACAUGUACAGAGUGUGGAAAAAGUUUUAUAGGAAACAGAAGUCUGAGAAAACAUGAAAGGAUUCACACAGGAGAAAAGCCUUUUACGUGUACAGAGUGUGGAAAAAGUUUUAUACAGCUGGGUAGUCUGAAAACUCAUGAAAGGAUUCACACAGGAGUAAAGCCUUUCACAUGUACAGAGUGUGGAAAAAGUUUUACACGGAUGGAUAUUCUGAAAACUCAUGAAAGGAUUCAUACAGGAGUAAAGCCUUUCACAUGUACAGAGUGUGGAAAAAGUUUUACACAUAUGGAUCGUCUGAAAACUCAUGAAAGGAUUCACACAGAAGAAAAGCCUUUCACAUGUACAGAGUGUGGAAAAAGUUUUAUAGUAAAGAGUAGUCUGAGAAAACAUGAAAGGAUUCACACAGGAGAAAAGCCUUUCACUUGUACAGAGUGUGGAAAAAGUUUUACAGGAAAGCGUAGUCUGAGAAAACAUGAAAGGAUUCACACAGGAGAAAAGCCUUUCACUUGUACAGAGUGUGGAAAAAGUUUUACACAGCUGGGUAGUCUGAAAACUCAUGAAAGGAUUCACACAGGAGUAAAGCCUUUCACAUGUACAGAGUGUGGAAAAAGUUUUACAGAAAAUAGUAGUCUGAAAACUCAUGAAAGGAUUCACACAGAAGAAAAGCCUUUCACAUGUACAGAGUGUGGAAAAAGUUUUAUAGUAAAGAGUAAUCUGAGAAAACAUGAAAGGAUUCACACAGGAGAAAAGCCUUUCACAUGUACAGAGUGUGGAAAAAGUUUUACAGGAAAGCGUAGUCUGAGAAAACAUGAAAGGAUUCACACAGGAGAAAAGCCUUUCACUUGUACAGAGUGUGGAAAAAGUUUUACAGGAAAGCGUAGUCUGAGAAAACAUGAAAGGAUUCACACAGGAGAAAAGCAUUUAACUUGUACAGAGUGUGGAAAAAGUUUUACACAGCUGGGUAGUCUGAAAACUCAUGAAAGGAUUCACACAGGAGUAAAGCCUUUCACAUGUACAGAGUGUGGAAAAAGUUUUAGAGAAAAUAGUAGUCUGAGAAAACAUGAAAUGAUUCACACAGGAGAAAAGCCUUUCACAUGUACAGAGUGUGGAAAAUGUUUUACAGAAAUGAUUAAUCUGAAAAAGCAUGAAAGGAUUCACAAGGGAACCUUUCACAUGUUUAGAAAGUGGAAAAUGUUUUUUUAUUGAAAUCCAGGAUCACAAAACACCAAAUAUUUACACACAAAUAAACUUUACAAACUCUCUAAAUAGAAGCAUCAAAAAGGAUAAUAUUGUAAAUAAUACUUUCUAAAUCCCAGUUAUAAAACCCCCAGAUUGGAAGUGCUCUCCUGCUGUCCUUUGUUCCUCUAUAUAUGUGCACCUCAGUUUCUCUCAUAUCAAUGUGAUAGAAUACAAACACCACACAGGAAUAUACAGAUCUGUCCUCAUACUGACCAGUUUACACAACCAUUCACCACCAAAGCACCCCAGUGUUGUUUAUUAAUAUGUCAAUGUUAGGAGUUGUACGUUUAGUUCACAUAGGGGAGAAAAUUGUUACAUUGACAGAAUAAAGCAGUUUUUAUAUGAAUAGAGCUUUAGAAACUUAAAUAAACAAGAUCAGUCUCAAAUGAUUGACAUCUGGGAGAUAUAUUUAAUGUGCACAUCAUGUGGAUAAACCUUUUCUUAUAGCAAUAGAUGCUUAGCAUUGUACAUGUUAUAUACCAGAGAAAUUACUGAGGGGAAACUGAUUUUAUUUCAUGAGACACUAUCAGUAACAUACGUGAUCAUAAUCAGUUUAAUUUAAAUGGCUACUAUAACUAAAGGAGAACAUUCUAUAUUUGAUAAAUCCCUUUGUAUCAAGAGCACAAGUCUAUCUAUCUACUGGGUUCUUGUAAAGCGCGGCUAUUCACCCGUAAGGGUCUCAAGGCGCUGAGGGUUGCAGUUCAGUCGAAGAGUCAGGUCUUGAGGUCCUUUCUGAACUUAGUUAGGGUGGUAGCUUGUCUAAGGUGCAGCGGGAGGGUGUUCCAAGUCUUGGCAGCCAGGUGAGAGAAGGAUCUGCCUCCCGCUGUGGUUUUCCUGAUGCGGGGGAUGACAGCGAGUGCUUGGUCGGCCGAUCGAAGUUGUCUGGCAGGGGUGUAGAAGGCAACGCGGUGGUUCAAGUAUUCGGGACCCAUGUUGUGGAGGGCCUUGAAUGUGUGGGUGAGAAGCUUGAAGGUUAUUCUUUUGUUGAUGGGGAGCCAGUGCAGGUCCCGCAGGUAUUUGGUGAUGUGGCAUUGACGAGGGAUGUCAAGGAUUAGUCUUGCCGAGGAAUUCUGGAUGUGCUGUGUAGUCUCUUUUGGAGCUUGAUGGUGGUGCCGGCGUAAAGUGCGUUACCAUAGUCCAGUCGGCUGCUGACGAGGGCGUGAGUGACAGUCUUCCUGGUCUCGGUUGGGAUCCAUUUGAAGAUCUUUCACAGCAGGUGAAGUGUGUGGAAGCAUGCAGAAGAGAUGGCGUUGAUUUGCCGGUCCAUGGAGAGCGAUGAGUCCAGGAUGACGCCUAGAUUUCGUGCAUGGUCGGUGGGGGUUGCAGGGUGUCCGAGGGCUAUGGGCCACCAGGAGUUAUUCCAAGCGGAUGUGGUGGGACCGAGGAGGAGGACUUCGGUCUUGUCUGCGAUCAGCUUUAGGUAGUUGUAGUUCAUCCAGAUGGCGACUGCUGUCAGCCCUUCGUGGACGUUUCUCUUGGUGGUGGUGGUGGGGUCACUGGUGAGUGAGAGGAUUAGCUGGGUGUCGUCGGCGUAGGAGACGAUGUUGAGGUCGUGUCGUCGGGCAAUGGCGGAGAGAGGGGCCAUGUAGAUGUUGUAAUAGGGUGGGGCUCAGAGAAGAGCCUUGGGGUACACCACAGCUGAUUUCUGUGGGCUUGGAGGUGAAGGGUGGGAGUCUAACUUUCUGGGUUCUGCCGCUGAGGAAGGAGGUGAUCCAUUCCAGGGCUUUGUCGCGUAUGCCGGCAUCGUGUAGUCGGUUGCAGAGGGUGAGGUGGGAGACAGUGUCGAAUGCUGCUGAGAGGUCUAGGAGAAUGAGGGCGGCGGUCUCUCCUUGGUCGAGUAGGGCGAGGAUGUCAUCUGUGGCGGCAAGGAGGGCGGUCUCGGUGCUGUGGUUGCUCCGGAAAAUUGGGAGGGGUCCAGGGUGUGGUUGGCUUUGAUGUAGUCAACGAGUUACGUGUUGAUGGACUUCUCGAUGACUUUGGCCGCAAAGGGGAGCAAAGAGAUUGGGCGGUAGUUCUUCGGAUCAUUGGGUCAGCCGUGGGUUUUUUCAGUAGGGGUUUUAAUUCUGCGUGCUUCCAGUCAUCCGGGAAGGUGCCGGUUUCGAUGGAGCAGUUGAUGGUGCUGCAGAGCUCGGGGGCGAUGGUGUCACCCGCUUUGUUGAAAAUGUGAUGCAGGCAUGGGUCCGAGGGUGCUCCGGAGUCGAUCGAUCUCAUGAUCCUGAUGGUGUCCUCUGUGGUGAGGGGGCUCCAGAUGGUCAGUGGGGGUAGGCGGUGGUGUAUUUGGAUGAGGUAUCGGUGGGAGUAGGUGGGUAGGCAAGUUCUGGGGCGCAAAGCUGUCAUAGAUGUUGACGAUCUUGCGGUGGAAGUACAUCGCAAGGUUAUUGCAGAGGUCCUGGGAGGGCGGGAUGUCGUUGCUGUUGGGAUUGGAGAAUUCCUUGAUGACUGUGAACAGCUCCUUGCUGUUGGGGACAUUGGCAUUGAUUCUAUCUUGGAUGGCUGUCUUCUUGGUGGUUUUGAUGAGGUGGUGGUGGGUAGUGAUGGCUUCUUUGUAGGCUGUUUUAUUUGAGGGGGUCUUGCUGGAUCUCCAGGUCCUUUCCAAUCGCCUGCAGUGGCGUUUGGAGUCCUGGAGGGCAGGGGUGAACCAACUAGCCUUGUUGGUGGGUUGGCGUUUGGAUGGUUUCUUGAGAGGGGCGAGGGUGUUGGCGCAGUCUGUGAGCCAGUGGUGGAGGUUGCGGGCAGAGGAGUUGGCAUCUGUGGAGGUAGCUGGGGGGCACUUGUUCAGGGUGGAGUGCAGUUGGUCUUCGGUGAUGUUGUUCCAGUGGGUGGGUGGUGCUGCUGGAGGUGUGCGGUGGGUUUGUUGAAGGAAAAAUGUAUGCAAUGGUGGUCGGUCCAAUGGAGUUCAGUGAAGUGGUUGACUGAGAUGUGGUUGCCUGCAGAGAAGAUAGGGUCGAGUGUGUGUCCGGCUGAGUGGGUUGGGGAGUUGACGAGUUUCUUUAGAAUGAUGGUUCCAAGGUUUUCGAAGAGGUUGGCAGUGUUGUGGUCAUUGGGGUUGUCUAGGCGGAAGUUGAGGUCACCGAGGAGGAUGUAGUCUGUUGAGGGGAGGGCGUGGGGUGCGAUGAGGUCGGUGAUGGAGUCACAGAAGGCAGGACGAGGUCCGGGAGGUCUGUAGAUGAGGGUGCCACGGAGGGUAGUGUUGUGACUGACCUGGAUCUUGAAGUGUAGGUGUUCCAAGCCUGGUGAGUGGUAAUCUUGUAUCCGUUGGGGAUGGCGAUGUCCGCCAUUUAUGUGGGGUUCAGCCAGGUUUCAGUAAGGAAGGCAACGUCCGGGGAGGUGGAGUUGAGCAGGUUCCAGAUUUUGACAGCGUGCUUGCGGACGGAGUGGGUGUUGAGGAGGAUGCAGUUGAGGUGGUUGCGGUUGUGUUUGCGUGAGGUGACUGGCAGGUUAGUGGUUCUGAGGGAGGAUUAGGCAUGAGAGGUGACUGGCAAGUUUGUUGUUCGGAGGGAGGAGAAGUGGCGGUGGUUGUGGGAGCCAGGUGCUGGGAGGUGGGAGGGCUGGGAGGCGGGGGGGCAGGGCAGUGGCUGUGGCAUGGGAGAGACAAGCAUGAAGGAGAGCAGGCUAGAAGAGGUUAGGUUAGGUAUAUUUAUACCAUUAGGUAUAUUUAUACCAUUGUGUGCAGAUAUCAUGUAAUGCUCCUUUUGACUAUAUAAUGAUGUAAUGGUUCUUCCUGCAAAUAAAAAGUGAUUGUAAUCCA